rnacentral:rRNA from 1 species
UACGAAGGGGGCUAGCGUUGCUCGGAAUCACUGGGCGUAAAGCGCACGUAGGCGGCUUCUUAAGUCAGGGGUGAAAGCCUGGAGCUCAACUCCAGAACUGCCUUUGAUACUGAGGAGCUUGAGUCCGGGAGAGGUAAGUGGAAUUCCGAGUGUAGAGGUGAAAUUCGUAGAUAUUCGGAAGAACACCAGUGGCGAAGGCGACUUACUGGACACAUAUUGACGCUGAGGUGCGAAAGCGUGGGGAGCAACAGG